UACGUAGGGGGCAAGCGUUGUCCGGAAUCAUUGGGCGUAAAGAGCGUGUAGGCGGUCCGGUAAGUCGGCUGUGAAAGUCCAGGGCUCAACCCUGGGAUGCCGGUCGAUACUGCCGGACUAGAGUUCGGAAGAGGCGAGUGGAAUUCCCGGUGUAGCGGUGAAAUGCGCAGAUAUCGGGAGGAACACCUAUGGCGAAGGCAGCUCGCUGGGACGUUACUGACGCUGAGACGCGAAAGCUAGGGUAGCAAACGGG
rnacentral:rRNA from 1 species